CCUACGGGUGGCAGCAGUGGGGAAUAUUGGGCAAUGGGCGCAAGCCUGACCCAGCAACGCCGCGUGAAGGAAGAAGGCUUUCUGGUUGUAAACUUCUUUUAAGGGGGAAGAGCAGAAGACUGUACACCUUGAAUAAGCCACGGCUAACUACGUGCCAGCAGCCGCGGUAAUACGUAGGUGGCAAGCGUUGUCCGGAUUUACUGGGUGUAAAGGGCGUGCAGCCGGAGAGACAAGUCAGAUGUGAAAUCAACGGGCUCAACCGGUGAACUGCAUUUGAAACUGUUUCCAUUGAGUGUAGUAGAGGUAAUCGGAAUUCCUUGUGUAGCGGUGAAAUGCGUAGAUAUCAGGAAGAACACCAGUGGCGAAGGCGGAUUACUGGACGAUAACUGACGGUGAGGCGCGAAAGCGUGGGGAGCAAACAGGAUUAGAUACCCCGGUAGUC
rnacentral:rRNA from 1 species